rnacentral:lncRNA from 1 species
GUAGCUGGGCUCGGCGCGGAGGGUGGUGCGUGCACGUGGCCAUCCUUCUCCAGGAGGCGACGAGGCAGUCCCGCCUGGGGUCUCCCGGCGGCGCGUCCGACUCUUUUCCUCGAGGCUGAGGCUGCCGAGGCUGUCGUUCCAGGUGUGGUUUCAAAACUGCCGGGCGCGUCAUAAAAAGCACACGCCGCAACACCCAGUGCCGCCCUCGGGGGCGCCCCCGUCCCGCCUUCCCUCCGCCCUGUCCGACGACAUCCACUACACCCCGUUCAGCAGCCCCGAGCGGGCGCGCAUGGUCACCCUGCACGGCUACAUUGAGAGUCAUCCUUUUUCAGUACUAACGCUGCCGGCACUUCCGCAUCUGCCCGUGGGCGCCCCACAGCUGCCCCUCAGCCGCUGAGAUCCAGUGUCCAAGCUGCGGCCAGGAGUCCACCCACCUCCGCAUCCACCCCCGUCCGCCAUCCUGCCCACCACCAGGUCGGUUCCCGAGGCCUGGCCUUUCCCUCUCCUGCUGAGAACCAGAACCCACCAGGAGCACCACAGAGUCCUCCUCUUGGAAGGCAGAACUCCCUGAAAUCUGGAAUCAGGGUGGAAACAGCCUGUUUUUCCCAUUUAAACAGGAGUCCUCUUCAACUUCAGCUGAUUACAAUAACAAAAGGCGGAAUUGAA